GGAAGGCCACAGCAAGAAGGCAGACAAGAAGAGCAAAGCUGAAAAAACAUGACAUCGAACAGUUGGACAGAACUGUACAGGAAAACAUCAACUCUCCAAAAUUUACUUUCUUUAUGCAACUGACAUCUCCUAAGCAACAAACGGCUGAAAUUCUUUUCAAAAUCUGCAAGACUUCGUUAUUUUAGGAAAGCCUAGCUUUAAUUACUGUAGAAUGCUUUCUAAUGCUCAAAGACCACCUAAACUCAUUUGAUGCCCUUUUAAACUUUGUUCUGC
rnacentral:lncRNA from 1 species